AGAGUCUUUAAAGACGCUUCUGGAGCCUCGGAUGGGGUCAUGUGACAUGUGACGCCGUGGACGUGAAGUGUCCUCUGAGUUAAAGACCAUGGAGGUCUUGUCCAUCUGGCAGCUGUCCGUCCCUCUGCCGGCCAUCAUGCUGAUCACCGUCACCCUCUACAUGAUCGUGGUGGGGAUCGGACUCUGGAUCCGGUUCUGUCUAAAGGACCGCUGUUCCUUC